UUAUCAUUAUUUUGAGAUAAGUCAGUAUUUUGAGAUACUUAUCUGACUGUUAUCAUACCAUUGAAUAAGCGUUAUCCUGAUACAAUCAUCCCACCGAUAUGGGCCAGUAGGGGCCUACUCUACCUACUAGUAGGUGCAGGAGGCAGUUAUCACCCAUUCAUCUGGCUGGUCCAAUACUAUUCAAGCCCAGCAGGUACAGAAGGUGUGUUAUCGAGCAGAGCAGUCACGUGACUGUCAGAUUUCUGUCUGCAUUUUCUUUUCUUUUCAGUGGAAAAACAACAUUUUAAGAUAUUUUUGGCAUUAGAGUUCGUUGUGAUAACCAUGACACUGUCAAGUUAGCAACAACACAACAACACGUUUACCCACGUCCGGGUGGACUGAAUUGGCAGCAGCAGCUCCUGAACCACCGCUGAAGGUGAGGUGGACGGAGAGGGACGUGGAUGGAAACACGCUUUCCAUGAGGCCAGGAGUCACGCGGAUCCAGACAUGCUGAAUGCCGUUGUAAGACCGGUCUCACCUCACACUCUAAUGUAGAGGGGACCUUUGCUCCAGAGACUGCUUCACACACAGAUUCUGCUGAAUGUCUUUUGCAAGAUCUGCAACACUCCCUGAGCUGCUCUGAUGAAGAGCUUAGUUAAGCAUCAGCAGACCAAAGAGCUCCUCUGGCUUCUCUGGAUUGGAGCAUUCGCAAUGCUCUCUUUUCAGAGAGAUGGAGGGAAAAGAGACCAUCUCUUCUUAGUAGCAUGCUGGCCAAGGAGAGCAUGGCAACAAAUGGCUGGUUGUAAAUGUAAAUAUUACCUUGUAGGACGGUAUGAUCUCAACAUGCCUGAGCUGACCUGCGAGGGAUGCCAGGCAACUUGGACUGCAGGACUUGAUGACCUGAUAAAAAGUGGAUACUGACCUGCCACCCUUCAUUUUGUAACAAUUUAUGAGACAGACCUGUUUUAUACGUUUGAAGACAUUAAGAUGGCAUCACCCGGGAUGUCUUUUCAGGCAUAUCUAAGAAUGCUUGAGAAGCGGACUGCUCGCUUUGGCUGUACUGGGAAGAUCUCAUCAGACAGCUUCCAAAAAAAGCUUUUUUGAAUGGGCUGCUGUACAAUAUGAGGUUGACUCCACCUGCAAGGAGGAGAAAUUCAUCUGUCCUGCCUGUACCCCAGCAAUGCUUUCUGUCUCAGUGGAUGGAAACCGUAAGCGUUACCGCUUCAAAAGUACUGCAAGAUCUCAGGUGCGGGCCAUCUUUGACGGUGUCUUCAUUGCAAAAGAUGACGAUGUGACCAGAUUUGUGGAUCACAUCCACAGCAAAAAAAAAACAUGUCACUGGUAGGAGCAAUUGUGGUGGGGAGUGGUCAGCUGCCAGAGAGACCUCCCAAAGAUCAAGCAGUAAGGUGGAUGAGGAGGGACUGGAGCUGGCAGUGUGCAGGCAUGAUGUCUUGCUGGCUGCCCUUAAUAUGUUUGUACAUGCUAAAGUGCAUGACUUCAAAUGUGAGGUGAAAUGGAGUAGCAAACCAAGAAGGUGCUGAUAAAACACUAGGGGAGGAAGUAGAGCAAUGUAAUGCUUCCCUCUGCAGGAUAUCAGUCACCACAAAGCAUAUGUCAAAAGCAGGACGCAAUGACAUGCUGACACUCCUGGCCAUAAGAUGGAACCAGCAGAAAUGUCCAAACCUGGCUACUGGACUUUCCCAGAGAUACCAUAAGACAUCUAAAGCUCUCAAUAUCCCGAUUGGGGACCUGGAAACCCUGAAAGCCCAGCAUCAACUGGGUGAACAAACUGUGGAAGAAUUUGUGCAAGAAGUAAAAGAAUGGGCAGAUGGAGAAAUUGACCAUCAAGGCACACCACAAGCUUUGUGUAAGAAGAUUGAGGCCUUCACAACCAGCAUCAACACGAGAGCUCAACUCCUAUAUCGGAA